rnacentral:rRNA from 1 species
UACGUAGGGUGCGAGCGUUGUCCGGAAUUAUUGGGCGUAAAGAGCUCGUAGGCGGUCUGUCGCGUCGGUCGUGAAAACUUGGGACUUAACCCUGAGCUUGCGGUCGAUACGGGCAUGACUGGAGUUCGGCAGGGGAGACUGGAAUUCCUGGUGUAGCGGUGAAAUGCGCAGAUAUCAGGAGGAACACCGGUGGCGAAGGCGGGUCUCUGGGCCGAUACUGACGCUGAGGAGCGAAAGCGUGGGGAGCGAACAGG